CGAGUGGCGGACGGGUGAGUAAUGUCUGGGAAACUGCCUGAUGGAGGGGGGAUAACUACUGGAAACGGUAGCUAAUACCGCAUAACGUCGCAAGACCAAAGAGGGGGACCUUCGGGCCUCUUGCCAUCGGAUGUGCCCAGAUGGGAUUAGCUAGUAGGUGGGGUAACGGCUCACCUAGGCGACGAUCCCUAGCUGGUCUGAGAGGAUGACCAGCCACACUGGAACUGAGACACGGUCCAGACUCCUACGGGAGGCAGCAGUGGGGAAUAUUGCACAAUGGGCGCAAGCCUGAUGCAGCCAUGCCGCGUGUAUGAAGAAGGCCUUCGGGUUGUAAAGUACUUUCAGCGGGGAGGAAGGGAGUAAAGUUAAUACCUUUGCUCAUUGACGUUACCCGCAGAAGAAGCACCGGCUAACUCCGUGCCAGCAGCCGCGGUAAUACGGAGGGUGCAAGCGUUAAUCGGAAUUACUGGGCGUAAAGCGCACGCAGGCGGUUUGUUAAGUCAGAUGUGAAAUCCCCGGGCUCAACCUGGGAACUGCAUCUGAUACUGGCAAGCUUGAGUCUCGUAGAGGGGGGUAGAAUUCCAGGUGUAGCGGUGAAAUGCGUAGAGAUCUGGAGGAAUACCGGUGGCGAAGGCGGCCCCCUGGACGAAGACUGACGCUCAGGUGCGAAAGCGUGG
rnacentral:rRNA from 1 species